rnacentral:lncRNA from 10 species
GAACAUAACAUGUUGGCUUUACAUACAGAGCAGGGCUGAGAAAUGUACAAACAAGUCUUCAGCCUGGGCCCCAUUCCCAGGUGUGGCUCCCUCUGCUGAGCUGAGGACGCCCUUCAGACCCAGGUUGCUACCUCCCUGAGACCCAGGAGGCAGAAGUAAGGAGGCACUACAUGGACAACCCUGCAUGGGAUUCCCACGGCUGACAGAAGUAUUGAUUUUGGGAGUAGAGCACAGCAGCCUGGGCUUGAUUGUCACUUUGGCAGCUACAGCAUUCACUGCAGCUGUGAACGGUAGCAGUGAAAGCAUACAUCAAUGACUUGCUCCUGACGAGAAUGGGAAUGCUUCUAACAUUUCACAUUCAAGAGAAGGAGCCUUGGAGAAUUCGUUGAAUAAUUGCCCGUAUUUUGGGAUUAUUUGGAAGAGUUAAUAUGGUGAUUCGUUUUCCCUGACCACUUGGGGGAACUGACCCACAAAACUGCCUGCCUUAGAACGGUAGAGGGUGGAUUGAGCUUUAAAUACAUUUUCAGUUUGUGGACGUACCAUUGGUUUUAUCCAUUCACCAAUUGGAAAAAGUAUUGAUUGUCAAUUUCAAAUAA